rnacentral:rRNA from 1 species
UACAGAGGGUGCAAGCGUUGUUCGGAAUUACUGGGCGUAAAGCGCGCGUAGGCGGCUUUGCAAGUCGAGUGUGAAAUCCCCAGGCUUAACCUGGGAACUGCAUUCGAGACUGCAUAGCUAGAGUAUGGGAGAGGGAAGUGGAAUUUCAGGUGUAGCGGUGAAAUGCGUAGAUAUCUGAAGGAACAUCAGUGGCGAAAGCGACUUCCUGGACCAAUACUGACGCUCAUGUGCGAAAGCGUGGGGAGCAAACAGG